rnacentral:SRP_RNA from 1 species
GCUGGGUGUGGUGGCUCACGCCUGUAAUCCCAGCACUUUGGGAGGCCGAGGUGGGUGGAUCACCUGAGGUCAGGAGUUCAAGACCAGCCUGGCCAACAUGGUGAAAUCCCAUCUCUA